UACGAAGGGGGCUAGCGUUGUUCGGAAUUACUGGGCGUAAAGGGCGCGUAGGCGGCUUCGAUAGUCGGGUGUGAAAUGCCUGGGCUCAACCCAGGAACUGCACUCGAAACUCCGAGGCUAGAGUGUGGGAGAGGAUAGUGGAAUUCCCAGUGUAGAGGUGAAAUUCGUAGAUAUUGGGAAGAACACCGGUGGCGAAGGCGGCUAUCUGGACCAAAACUGACGCUGAGGCGCGAAAGCGUGGGGAGCAAACAGG
rnacentral:rRNA from 1 species